rnacentral:rRNA from 1 species
AGUGAACGCUGGCGGUAGGCCUAACACAUGCAAGUCGAACGGCAGCACAGUAAGAGCUUGCUCUUACGGGUGGCGAGUGGCGGACGGGUGAGGAAUACAUCGGAAUCUACUUUUUCGUGGGGGAUAACGUAGGGAAACUUACGCUAAUACCGCAUACGACCUACGGGUGAAAGCAGGGGAUCUUCGGACCUUGCGCGAUUGAAUGAGCCGAUGUCGGAUUAGCUAGUUGGCGGGGUAAAGGCCCACCAAGGCGACGAUCCGUAGCUGGUCUGAGAGGAUGAUCAGCCACGCUGGAACUGAGACACGGUCCAGACUCCUACGGGGGGCAGCAGUGGGGAAUAUUGGACAAUGGGCGCAAGCCUGAUCCAGCCAUACCGCGUGGGUGAAGAAGGCCUUCGGGUUGUAAAGCCCUUUUGUUGGGAAAGAAAAGCAGCAGGUUAAUACCCCGCUGUUCUGACGGUACCCAAAGAAUAAGCACCGGCUAACUUCGUG